GACGUAGGGCGCAAGCGUUUGUCCGGAUUUAUUGGGCGUAAAGAGCUCGUAGGCGGUUUGUCGCGUCUGCCGUGAAAGUCCGGGGCUCAACUCCGGAUCUGCGGUGGGUACGGGCAGACUAGAGUGAUGUAGGGGAGACUGGAAUUCCUGGUGUAGCGGUGAAAUGCGCAGAUAUCAGGAGGAACACCGAUGGCGAAGGCAGGUCUCUGGGCAUUAACUGACGCUGAGGAGCGAAAGCAUGGGGGAGCGAACAGG
rnacentral:rRNA from 1 species